ACUACAUUUUUAAAAGGUAUUUUUGACAAUCAUUCAAACCCUGGGAGAAAGCUGUUCAUCAUGUCAGGAAAUUCAGCUCUCUACUCAAGACCCUUGUUUGUCUAUGCAGCUGUCAUGUCAAUUAUCAUGUGUUCAGAUGCUGCUAUGAGAGCCAGUCCAAAAACAACCCAAGUGGACAAUGGAGUGAAGCACAUUGUCCUGAGACGACUGUAUAAUCCAUACAGUCAACAUCC